rnacentral:Y_RNA from 1 species
GGCUAGUUCGAGUGCAGUGAUAUUUAGAACUAAUUGAUCACAACCAGUUACAGAUUACUUUGUUCUUUCUCCACUCCCACUGCUUCACUUGAAUAGCCUUCA